GGCUCAGCUAUACUCGAGGACUCACUUGAUCCUGGGUAUAACCAGAGCCCGAUUGU
ensembl:miRNA